rnacentral:rRNA from 1 species
AACGAACGCUGGCGGCAGGCCUAGCACAUGCAAGUCGAGCGGACCCUUCGGGGUUAGCGGCGGACGGGUGAGUAACGCGUGGGAAUAUGCCCUUCUCUACGGAAUAGUCCUGGGAAACUGGGGGUAAUACCGUAUACGCCCUUUGGGGGAAAGAUUUAUCGGGGAAGGAUUAGCCCGCGUUGGAUUAGGUAGUUGGUGGGGUAAUGGCCUACCAAGCCGACGAUCCAUAGCUGGUUUGAGAGGAUGAUCAGCCACACUGGGACUGAGACACGGCCCAGACUCCUACGGGAGGCAGCAGUGGGGAAUCUUAGACAAUGGGGGCAACCCUGAUCUAGCCAUGCCGCGUGAGUGAUGAAGGCCUUAGGGUUGUAAAGCUCUUUCAGCGGGGAAGAUAACGACGGUACCAGCAGAAGAAGCCCCGGCUAACUCCGU